CAGCAGCCGCGGUAAUACAGAGGGUGCGAGCGUUAAUCGGAUUUACUGGGCGUAAAGCGUGCGUAGGCGGCUUUUUAAGUCGGAUGUGAAAUCCCUGAGCUUAACUUAGGAAUUGCAUUCGAUACUGGGAAGCUAGAGUAUGGGAGAGGAUGGUAGAAUUCCAGGUGUAGCGGUGAAAUGCGUAGAGAUCUGGAGGAAUACCGAUGGCGAAGGCAGCCAUCUGGCCUAAUACUGACGCUGAGGUACGAAAGCAUGGGGAGCAGACAGGAUUAGAUACCCCUGUAGUCCCUGUCUCUUAUAC
rnacentral:rRNA from 1 species